rnacentral:tRNA from 1 species
GGGCCCUUAGCUCAGUUGGUUAGAGCGGUGGACUCAUAAUCCGCUGGUCGCUGGUUCGAGUCCAGCAGGGCCCA